rnacentral:rRNA from 1 species
GCAGUCGCCACGGUAAUACGGAGGGAGCUAGCGUUGUUCGGAAUUACUGGGCGUAAAGCGCGCGUAGGCGGUUACUCAAGUCAGAGGUGAAAGCCCGGGGCUCAACCCCGGAACUGCCUUUGAAACUAGGUGACUAGAAUCUUGGAGAGGUCAGUGGAAUUCCGAGUGUAGAGGUGAAAUUCGUAGAUAUUCGGAAGAACACCAGUGGCGAAGGCGACUGACUGGACAAGUAUUGACGCUGAGGUGCGAAAGCGUGGGGAGCAAACAGGAUUAGAUACCCGAGUAGUCCCUGUCUCUUAUAC